GAAUUAGUUUACAAUAUAGGUUAUUUCUAGCUAGGAGAAAGAUAAAUGGAUGACAGGUAUGAUUGAGGCGAUGGAAUCUUUACAUUAGAA